UUUUCCUAUGUAGGCAAAAACACAAAACAUUGUAGGUUUUCUUUUAUAAAGAAAUUUUAAUCUUACUUAACCCUGUAAGACCCACUGUUUCAGAAUUACAACAAUUGUGGUUAUUUCCCAAAACCCCUUUUGUCUUUUUUGUUUAUACAACUACAUCAAUAUGAUCUGUGGGUCCUACAUUUUAUUCCCACCAUGUAAUUGGAUCCAGGAUUUGUAUACAAAGCCCACCCCCCUUAAGUCAAGAAGUGACACAUCCUACAACUUUCUGAUCAAGCAACAUCCCUUUGAUUUACUGGACUGGAUUCAUCUUGAAGUAAGUAAAAUGCUUGGAAUAUGUUUUUCUGUGUUUAUUACAGUGUCUAGAACAAGGACAUGUACAGUAAAUGUUGAAAAUAUGCCCUACAUUUUGUUUAGAGCUUGUUUUAUAAAUGUUGCGAUAUUACAAUGUUGGAUGAGAGUGGCAGUCAUAAUUGCCCUGUAUUUAAGAGGAACAUCUAGCCUGGUUAAAACCAGACCAUUCUCAGUUGUAACUGAGUUAUGGUCUGGCAAAGCGUCAUAGACAAAUCAUUUCCAGAGGGGCGUCUCCAACGGACGUCGCGGGUAGGCCUAAAACCAAUCAGAGCGAUGAAGGAGAUGACGUAUGCAGAGCGGCGGCCGGCAGAGAAACAUCUCCGAGUGUUGUUCUUUGCUCGGUUUUUAACAAAAAGGAAACGUUCAAACCGCUUAAAACAGACGGGAUAGCUGAUCCGAACGAGUUAUGUUCGACGGCGGCAUCCAUCUUUGUAAUGUAGGCUACAAAAUCUGCUUCAAAAUCCCAGCGCUGUCGUCAUCGUGUAAAGCCCGCCCCAACGUUUCUGAUUGGUGCCGCGAUUUCGGUGGAUUGGAAAUGGACUUGAAUGCGCUCUUUGCCAGACUAACUUUCAGAGCAAAUCUAAAUUUGCCAGAAGUUGUCUGGGUUUUCCCAGGCUAAGGAACAUCUUGAGGGGAACUUAAAUGAAAAUGUAAACAACAAAUUAUACAGGAUUUAAACAUUAUACCCUUUAGCUUUAUAUCGGAUUACAUAUUCUAUACUGUAUUAGAGACUAAAGUUGAAAGAUAUAUUGCCAUAUCUAAACAUUAUAAUUUGCUAUCACAUUCUGCAGGACUUUCUAACAAAGAAAUUCUGUUUGUGCAAAUCUGCCUUUUCUUAGUCUACUGAUAAACAAAAUGUUCUUAUCAAUUUAUAGUCAAAGAGCUUAUUAUCAUUAGGCCUAUAACCUUUAUUUAACCAGGUCUGUCCCAUUGAGAUCCAAGAUCUCUUUUGCAAGAGACACCUGGCCACUCCUCCAAGUUGUGCGGGAUGCUCCUGGUGCUUUGUUCUGACACAGGUGUAAAUGUUCAUCACUGUUAGUUUUUGUUGUAAACUGGACGCUGAAUGCAUUCCAGUAAGGAUUACAAUCACAGUCUACUAUAGGUGAGCCAUUAGGGUAUAGCGUGACCGGUGAGAUGUGUGAAUAGGCUGCUUCAGUCCAAAGUGUGAACAUGUCAUAAUGAGGCAUGUGUGCUAUUUGUAUAUACAAUGGAAAUUUGUUUCAAUUUUAUCUUUUCCAUUUCAGAAUGCCACCAGCAAGGAGAAAUCCUCGGUACAAUGUGCACAAUGUAAUUGCCAUCAUCCAAAACGGAGAAAGUGAUGUGGACAUAGAUUUUGACGACACUGAUGCGAGUGAUGAAGAAUCAGAUAAUGAUGUCUCUGUGGACAAAGAAAACCAAGAACCUACCAAUUGUCCAGCUAAUGUGAAUAUUGAACCCGGGCAAUCAAAGAAAUACAUCAUGCCACAUGACAGACAUCACUGAUUUUUCUGGUCAAGCUCUCACAGUUGAUGUCACCUCCCUCCACACACCACUGCAAUACUUCCAAAAGUUUUUGUCAGAAGAUUUGGUUCAAGCUCUGGCAACAAAUACGAAUGAGUAUAGCAUUCAAAAUGAUGAAAGAUCAGUCAACACUAAUACAAAAGAAAUACAGGCAGCAUUGGGCAUGUACCUGAGGAUGGAACAUUACAUUUUGUAAACAAUUUAACCGUGCCAGAGACUGAAAAGAGGGACAAACUCUGGAAACUCAGACCACAGCUUGAUUCACUCAGAGAAAACUGCCUGCAGGUGGUACCAGAAGAGCACAUUCCAUGGACAAGAUGAUGAUACCCUUCAACGGGAAGUUCAGCAGCAUCAAGAAGUAUAUGCAAGGGUCAACACAAGAAGAUCUAGGCAGACAACUACUUCACCUCCGUUCCACUGGUAGUGAAGCUCCUUGAGCAAGGAAUCCAUUAUGUGGGAACAGCCAGGCAAGUGCAUCUCCCCAACUGUAAUCUUUACAUGUGAAGAGCUUGAAGAAGAAGGGCAGAGGAAGCUUUGACCACAGAGUGGAGGGGAAACAACAUCUGUGCUGUCAAAUGGUACGACAACAGGGCGGUGACACUUCGCUGGACCAGAACCUGUUCAGGAGAUUCAACACUGGGACAAAGCCGCCAAAACCUACAUUGACGUUAGAAAGGCUUCCAUUGUGGGCAUCUACAAUAAAUACAUGGGAGGUGUGGAUUUGUUGGACUCAUUUACAGCAAAACACAAGUAUGCACUGAAAUCCUGGUGGUGGUACAUGUACAUCUUCUGGCACACAAUCACCCUUGCUGUGGUCAACGCCUGGCUCCUCUACAAGCAGCACAGCCUAUGCUCUCAGGAUGCCAAAGGAGAUACUGAAUAUGAGAAAGUUCCAAGCACAGCUGGCUUCCUCUCUCAUUACGGUAAUGAUCUAUUUGUGCUAUUUACCUUGUUUGUGAUAAAUCAGACUGGAAUUUGAGAUGUACAUAAAUUGAUACAUUUAUAUUCUAAUCUGGCGGACACAACACUGAAAACGCCAAAGAGAGGACGGCCAUCUUCAAUCAACAAGAGCCCAGAGACAGGAGCCCUCUGAAUAGUGGAAAGAGACCACACAUGGAUGAUGGAAGUCCAAAGGCUCCCUCUUCUAAAAAGUCACGCAAACCACCGCCCAUGGAUGCGCGCAUGGACCAAACUGGACGUUUCCCCCUGAAGACAAAGAGAGGACACUGCAGACAUUGCAGUAAAGGGUACACCAAUACCCAAUGCAGUAAGUGUGAUGUCCGCCUCUGUUUUUCAGAGGACAGGAACUGUUUCUGGGAUUACCACUAUAAGUAAAGGUGGACUUCACACUGAGCACAUAGAUUUCAGUGGAGAGCGAAAGAACACUGCAGACAUUGCACUGUUAACAAUGUAAAUAAAUAAAGAUCUUAUUUGUUGGAAUAAACAACUCUUCAUAAUAA